UCUGACCUCAAAUCAGGUAGGAUUACCCGCUGAACUUAAGCAUAUCAAUAAGCGGAGGAAAAGAAACUAACAAGGAUUCCCUUAGUAACUGC
rnacentral:rRNA from 1 species